rnacentral:rRNA from 1 species
CAGCCGUAAACAAUGUGCGUUAGGUAUGUCGGUAACCACGUGUUACUGAUGUGCCGAAGAGAAAUCGUGAAACGCACCACCUGGGAAGUACGGUCGCAAGGCUGAAACUUAAAGGAAUUGGCGGGGGAGGCACCACAACAGGUGGAGCCUGCGGUUUAAUUUGGAUUCAACGCCGGAAACUACAUCGGGAGCGACAGCAGUAUGAUUGCCAGGUUGAUGACCUUGCUUGACAAGCUGAGAGGAGGUGCAUGGCGUAGUCGUGU